UACAGAGGGGGCAAGCGUUGUCCGGAAUCAUUGGGCGUAAAGAGCGUGUAGGCGGCCCGAUAAGUCCGCUGUGAAAGUCCAGGGCUCAACCCUGGGAUGCCGGUGGAUACUGUCGGGCUCGAGUCCGGAAGAGGAGUGUGGAAUUCCUGGUGUAGCGGUGAAAUGCGCAGAUAUCAGGAGGAACACCAAUGGCGAAGGCAGCACUCUGGGACGUGACUGACGCUGAGACGCGAAAGCGUGGGGAGCAAACAGG
rnacentral:rRNA from 1 species